UACGGGGGGGGGCAAGCGUUGUUCGGAAUUACUGGGCGUAAAGGGCUCGUAGGCGGCCAACUAAGUCAGACGUGAAAUCCCUCGGCUUAACCGGGGAACUGCGUCUGAUACUGGAUGGCUGGAGAUUGGGAGAGGGAUGCGGAAUUCCAGGUGUAGCGGUGAAAUGCGUAGAUAUCUGGAGGAACACCGGUGGCGAAGGCGGCAUCCUGGACCAACACUGACGCUGAGGAGCGAAAGCCAGGGGAGCAAACGGG
rnacentral:rRNA from 1 species